rnacentral:rRNA from 1 species
UACGUAGGUGGCGAGCGUUGUCCGGAUUUACUGGGCGUAAAGAGCCCGCAGGCGGUCCGUUAAGUUUCAGGUGAAAUCUCCCGGCUCAACCGGGAGGGUGCCUGGAAAACUGGCGGACUUGAGGCAGGGAGAGGGAUGUGGAAUUCCAGGUGUAGCAGUGAAAUGCGUAAAUAUCUGGAGGAACACCGAUGGCGAAGGCAGCCUCCUGGGCUAGUACUGACGCUCAUGCACGAAAGCGUGGGGAGCAAACAGG